UCUAAUCUUACAGCCACCACAUUGCAGAGGUAUAACUUGGAAACCAAGUGUUCACUUUGUAGACAAGGAGGCCAUAAUAGGAGGAGCUGCCCUAAGGCAAAAGAAAGCACCAACAGUCAGGUUUAUCUCUUCCCAAAAGACAUUGGCGAUGCAUAUUUGUUUUGGAUAUUUAUUAUUUAUUUAUUUUCAAGUGAUUCUAUUCUUAUGUUAGGUCC
rnacentral:lncRNA from 1 species